CCGCCGCAACCUCCCCCCUCGUCAACAUCACCUUCACCCUCGUCCAUCGUUCACUAGCGUUGGGAGGUGUCUCGUUUCCGCACCCUCAUGAGGCGCUACUGAGUUUCAUGCGUGUGCGCGGACGUACAGUACGCGAAGCGGUACACCUGUGCAGCCCAUCUCCCCUUUUCGUCGACCGUGGCACGAAAGGGGCAUGGGAAAAAAGCAAGAAGGUGGGAAGCGAAGUACUCGCUACCACCGCUGCUUCUCUCUGAGCCUCUGACGCGCUUUCGUAUCGAGCUCCUUUCCUCUGCCACUGCUGCGCGCACUGCCGGUGUUGGCAGACACGUCUUUCUUUCGAACUGCGACUUCAAUUUUUUGUUUUCCUGUGUCGUUCACGUUUUGUCGUUGUGUGCGUGUGGUUGGCGCAUCUUCAUUGCCAGAGCACGCGCCUUUGUGGGAGGCGGACAGCUGCGCGCUGCACACACAACUUUGCCUUCUUUUUUUCCCUUUCGGCACCGCCCCCGCUUUAUUGACGGUACAUGUUGCGCCGCUGCGGGUGCCGAAGGAACGUGUGGUCGAGCCACAUCUCCACGAAACGCACCGUGGUUGAGGCGUACGAACAGCUUGCGCGUAAAGGCGUCAUAACGGCCGACGCUCGCCAACGCUAUAUGUCAGAAGCAUGCACAUCCCUUCUCCAGUUCAUUCACCAGUGCUACGCAGACGAGGCUGCCGGCAAGGUAUCGCCGUACACCCGGCCUUGCAUGUCAGCGAGCGAUGAAAGGGGCCACUGGGUGCAAGCGUCGCGCUCACUUCGGAGGUCUAUUUGGGCAUCCCUCGCGAAGCAGGCGAGGCGGGCAUUCCCCGACUCUGUCACUCGCACGCUGGGCCUCUUGGAGGCGGAGAAUAUUGGCGUUGUGGAAAAACGUGGGCUGUACCUGUGGGGUGAUGUGGGAAUCGGGAAGACGAUGAUACUGGACCUCUUUGACCUCUGCGCUACCCCGUAUGCGAAGCGCCGUUCCCACCUGCACUCUUUCAUGAGUGAACUGGAGGACCGCCUCUUUCGCGCGGAGAUGGCGCUGACGCGGCGGCGCCGGUCAGCCGUGUCGCCGAAAGAGAAGAGGGCGCUGGAUGCCGUCCGUCCCAUCAACGUGGUUGUGCAGGAGGUGCUGCACGAGACGCCUAUCCUGUGCUUCGACGAAUUUCAGACCUUCGAUGUGGCUCACGCCGCGUUGCUCGCCGCCUUCUUCAGCGAGGCGCUCCGUGAAGGACUCUUCCUAAUCACGACGAGCAACCGCCCCCCGGAGGAUCUAUGUCGUGUUUCCGCUUCCUUUAACGCUUUCCUUCCUGUGCUGCGGCAGCACUGCAAUGUUGUGCACUGCGCCGAUAUCCGUGACUAUCGCGUGAGGGAGGCUGCGGAGCGGCACCACCAGCUUAUCUUUUUGCACCCGAACACGAAGGCAAACGUGGAGCGGCUGAUGCGGCGUGUCGAGCAUGCUUUCGGGGCUGGUGGCGGAGAGCUUGCGUGGAUCAAGGAGGACACACUGUGGCACCACGGCCGCAGCGUCGUGAUCCCGCUGCGAUGCGCUGGAUGUGCCGUGUUCGACUUUACCGACAUCUGCGGCGCGCGAGAAGGGCUAUCCUCCGCUGACAUCCAACUCAUCGCCCUGCAGUUCCACACCGUCAUUGUCACAAACGUGCCGCAGAUGGGCAACGUGAGCUCUAACGCGGCGCACCAGUUCGUCGUGCUGGUGGAUGAGAUGUACCAGAACAACGUGAAGCUGCUCUUCACUUCCUCUGUACCGUGGACGCAUCUCAUGGACUCCACCUACUCCACGAGCGACGUGCGGGCCCUGGCGGACGUCGACUCCGGUCGCGGCGGUGAUGCGACCUGUUCCGCAGGCGGCAGCUUUGGAACCGAGGUUUACAGCGAGGGCGAGGAUGAUCGGAGCGGGCACGCAGCCUCCUACAACUUUAGGAAUGAGGAGGAGCUCAUGAGCUUUGCGCGCAUCCGCAGCCGCCUAAACGAGAUGGGCUCGGCCUCGUACCUGCUGCGCGAUCACCGUCACUUCGUCGUCACCGACUUCGAUUUUGCUGCUUUGCUCCGUCCAGACAUACAACGAAAGGUGUGCGAAUGAACUCCCAACCGUUUCCGUCUUACCUAUGCGCCGUUUUCACCGAGUCUCCGUUUCUCCUCCCGUGUGUGUGUGUGUCUUAGCGCAGCUCAAAGCGAAUG
rnacentral:misc_RNA from 1 species